UAAUAUAUUUUUAUUUUAAAAUAUUAUUCUUCUGAUAUAAAAUAAUCAACAAAGGAGUCGAAAAAGUCAAGUUGAUAAUAAAUACAUUCGUAUUUUAAUAUUUUUAACUUGUACGAAGAGGAUCAUCAACUAUAUUCCUGAACAAGGUAAACAAUAUAUUAUUCAAAUAUAAAAUUGUAAUAUUGAGAAUUUUCAAUCCACAUUUAGAUUUUUACAUAUUACAAG
rnacentral:lncRNA from 1 species